CGGCCGCGCCGCGUGCCGGGGAACCGCGCGGCAGGCGGUCCCGUACCGAACGGAAAGG
ncrna:Halorubrum tebenquichense DSM 14210 M23 RNA